CAGGGCUGUAGGCAAGAGUUGCUUUGGGCUGUGGGGACAUCAGAUGGAGCUGUUACUGAUGGGGGUUGAGUGGAGAUCUCUCUGGUUGCUCUAUGGAAGGCUGAUGGUGGAAGGAGGAUUCUGGAGGUCUGCUGUGUGUGGGGAGGGGGUUCCAUCCAUGCCCCAAAUUUACUCAGUGGCUACAGGGUCUUGGGAAGUCACCCUCCCCAGUUUGUUUUCUUCUGCUCAUGUUUAGCUUAAGAGACCAUGAUUGCUCUCAGGGAGUUAUAUCUGCAUGUAUGUCUGCAUAGCAUGUACCUUCCUGGUACCUCUGGAAGCCAAAAGAAGGCCUCAGCUAUCCUGGAACUUGAGUUACAGAUGGUUGUGAGCCACCACAUAGGAAUGUUGGGAACUGAACCUGGGUCCUCAGGAAGACUGGCCAGUGUUCUUAACUGCUGAGUCAUCUCUCCAGCCUUGCACAGGUAGAUCUUAUAAUCUGUUUCUCAAACACGGAGGAUAGAGACACAUUAACCACGCAAUCGCCGACUUGACUUCUGUCUGACAAGCCAGGUUCCAAUCCCGGGAGACUUAAGUCUUGGCGUUGGCUGCGUCCCUCCUCACAGUGUCGACAUUCACUUUAAAACUGCAGAACUGUGCAAUAUGCUUUAACCACAAACCAUCACAGUGCCUGGCAGAGCAGAUGCUCCGGGAGAGGAUGUCUUUGAAAGACUAAGACAAACAUUAAAUUAAUCAGCCAAUGAUCUUGGGGGGGGGGGGCGGGAAAUGGUCACUAAUUUCAAAUUUUUCAUCUCUGGAAAAAUCAAUUAUUAUUCUGUUUAUUUGUCACUGUUUCCAGCCAUUUCACCGGAUGACAGGGGUUCAAACGAGAGCAUUGUUAUAAAAGAGGUUAGGCAUGCUGGAUUCUGUCCCUGGACUUUCCACCUCACAGCUACCUGGGGUUUAGGAGACAGAUUAACUGCUGUGGGGGCAAAGGCUGGGCUUGUGUUUCUUUGUUCUUCCCUCUGCUGAUUGCUUUGGACUCUGUAAGAUUUUGAAUAUUUAGUUAAGUACCAGUUAAUGCCUGUUAUUCCCUGGGCAGGAUUUUGGAGGCAUGUAUAUGAAGUGAAUACUCUCCUGAAGCAAGUUGGGGCUUGGAACUUUUUUCCUUACCCCCCAAAGAUCCUCAGAAUGUUGCUUCACUCUCAGGUAAAGCUCUCCGAGAUCAGAGAAGAAGAUUAAAGACAUUCUGCUGAUAUGUUUAAUGGCCCCAGUAGCCCUGACUCAUAGUCAAAGCUGUGUGCGAACAUUGUUCCCCGCUCCGCUCUGCUCCCUGUUGGAUGACUCUUGUCCUUUUGAAGUACUUGGUGAUUUGGGGUUCCCAUGACAGAGAUCUAGGCAGGUUUAGCAAUAAUAGCCCCACACAGGCCGCUCUCCCAUUUGGUUGCAUGCAUUUUUAAUGUGUGCGAUUAUGCAAACCACAGUAAAAUGUAAGGCUUAUGUACAUCCUUACAUAAAUUAUUAUAAAGUCACAGGCAUUGUUCCAUUAUGUUCAUUAACUG
rnacentral:sRNA from 1 species